GUUUACAGACUGGAACCACUGACAGAAAAACAAAAAGAUGUUGACCGAAGAUUUGUUACUUACAAGUCUCGUGAAUGCAAGUGGGAUUCCAGGUUAAUUCUACCAAAGAACCCCUGGCCACCCAAAUCUGCCUCAUUUACGAGACACAAAAGGCGGCGUGGUGCCUACACUGCAUUCUUAGAUCGUGUGGAAGAAAGGUUAAGUAACAUCUGGCAACAUGGGAAGGAAUGAUUUAUUGCUGUGAUAAACCUGAGGAAAUUCCUGGAAACCUGCAUGAUCUGGUAAUUUACUACAGUGAGCAAACAAACAAAACCCAAACAAACCAAACCAGUUCCUCUAAACAGGAGGUAGUUGUGUGAGAAGACAUGGAAACACAUCCUUCUUGACAUUUGCCUUCUGUUUGUUCUAGCACAAUGAUUUUCCACCAGGGUUCCACAGAACACUCAAGUGCCUUUCAAGGGUGUCAAGGCAUUCAGACGAGCCUGGAUGCACCUCUUGUGCAGCAUUUCCAACCCCUUUGAGACACUGCAAGAGGCACACACAGGAACAGAAAAAGGUUCCCCCCGGUUUGCAGCAUGGGGGCAAAAUUAGACCCCUU
rnacentral:lncRNA from 1 species